rnacentral:miRNA from 1 species
AUAGGACUGAACUGUGGGAGGA